CCAAACCUUACGUCCCCGAGAAUCGGCGGCGAGGGAUCAGGGCAACCCGAUCGCUUGCUGCCAAACUUAACAUAAAUCAAAACUAGGUGCCGAGGCAGGCCGCAGCUUUACGGCUGAGGCUAGCCGAGGUGCCGCCCAUUACUAAAUGACAACUGAACUGAACCAAACUGUAGUUGGAACCUUUACGGGUUCUUUCGACUGUAUAAUUCAUUACAACUUUCGGCAAUGGAUGUCUUGGAUCCCACAACGAUGAAGAACGCAGCGAAAUGCGAUACGUAAUGCGAAUUGCAGGACCUCGUGAAUCAUCAAAAUUUUGAACGCACAUUGCGCUUUUGGGUAAUGCCCAAGAGCAUGCUUAUCUGAGUGUCCCUAAACCCCACUCAACCACUGCGGCAUGUAAAAGUGCUCGCGGCGUGUUGGACUAUGACAGUGCGCGGCUUGCCGAGCUCUGUUGAAAUUCAUCAGUUUGUUGUUAUGUCCGGGCAGUUAGCGCUGCAGGUCUUAUACAAAUGCGACAAAAGAUUCGGUAGUUGAACUUCGGUUUGAUUCUUAUCUUGAGUUGCGGGAGUUAAAGACCAACCAGUCAUCUCGAUGAAAUGGGUCUGCCUUGCUCACGCUUGCGCAUUCCCCCCUUGAAUGUAAUUUAUCUAUGGAUCUCAGAUUAAGUAAGACUACCC
rnacentral:rRNA from 1 species